CGUCCUACGUCCUAUAAGUCCAUGACAAGUGGAACCAUAAAGUGUUUUCCUUUGUCUGCCUUAGAAACAUAAUCAAGCAAAUGUAGAAAGAAUCACCUAUCUUUUUGGAGAGUUUCUCCGAAGUUUGAUUAACAACAGUUAGGCGAUACUUUGUGUGUCUUUUCCAUCCAUCAGGCAAAGAUUUGGAAUCAGCAACAUCAAGAAACAGAGACAAACUUUUAGUUUCAUGAUCCACACAUCCCUUGG